AAUGAACGCUGGCGGCGCGCCUAAUACAUGCAAGUCGAGCGAGAAGACGUAGCAAUACGUUUGUAAAGCGGCGAACGGGUGAGGAAUACAUGGGUAACCUACCCUCGAGUGGGGAAUAACUAGCCGAAAGGUUAGCUAAUACCGCGUACGCUCCUUGGACUUCGGUUCAGGGAGGAAAGCGAUACCGUGGGUAUCGCGCUCUUGGAUGGGCUCAUGUCCUAUCAGCUUGUUGGUGAGGAACGGCUCACCAAGGCUUCGACGGGUAGCUGGUCUGAGAGGACGAUCAGCCACACUGGCACUGCGACACGGGCCAGACUCCUACGGGAGGCAGC
rnacentral:rRNA from 1 species